rnacentral:rRNA from 1 species
UAAUACAUGCAAGUAGAACGCUGAGGAGUGGUGCUUGCACUGGUUUAAGGAGUUGCGAACGGGUGAGUAACGCGUAGGUAACCUACCUCAUAGCGGGGGAUAACUAUUGGAAACGAUAGCUAAUACCGCAUGACAAUAGGGUACACAUGUACCCUAUUUAAAAGGGGCAAAUGCUUCACUAUGAGAUGGACCUGCGUUGUAUUAGCUAGUUGGUAAGGUAACGGCUUACCAAGGCGACGAUACAUAGCCGACCUGAGAGGGUGAUCGGCCACACUGGGA